UACGUAGGGGGCAAGCGUUGUCCGGAUUUAUUGGGCGUAAAGAGCGUGUAGGCGGCCUUACAGGUCAGCUGUGAAAACUCGAGGCUCAACCUCGAGACGCCGAUGGAAACCAUGUGGCUAGAGUCCGGAAGAGGAGAGUGGAAUUCCUGGUGUAGCGGUGAAAUGCGCAGAUAUCAGGAAGAACACCCGUGGCUAAGGCGGCUCUCUAGUACGGUACUGACGCUGAGGAGCGAAAGCGUGGGGAGCGAACAGG
rnacentral:rRNA from 1 species